rnacentral:rRNA from 1 species
GAUGAACGCUGGCGGCGCGCCUAACACAUGCAAGUCGAACGGCACCCCUCCUCGGAGGGAAGCGAGUGGCGAACGGCUGAGUAACACGUGGAGAACCUGCCCCCUCCCCCGGGAUAGCCGCCCGAAAGGACGGGUAAUACCGGAUACCCCGGGGUGCCGCAUGGCACCCCGGCUAAAGCCCCGACGGGAGGGGAUGGCUCCGCGGCCCAUCAGGUAGACGGCGGGGUGACGGCCCACCGCGCCGACAACCGGUAGCCGGGUAGAGAGACCGACCGGCCAGAUGGGGACUGAGACACGGCCCAGGCUCCGACGGGAGGCAGCAGUGGGGAAUCUUGCGCAAUGGGGGGAACCCUGACGCAGCGACGCCGCGUGCGGGACGGAGGCCUUCGGGUCGUAGACCGCUGUCAGCAGGGAAGAGUCAAGACUGUACCUGCAGAAGAAGCCCCGGCUAACUACGUG